rnacentral:rRNA from 1 species
UACGAAGGGGGCUAGCGUUGCUCGGAAUCACUGGGCGUAAAGCGCACGUAGGCGGACGCUUAAGUCAGGGGUGAAAUCCUGGAGCUCAACUCCAGAACUGCCUUUGAUACUGGCGAUCUUGAGUCCGGGAGAGGUGAGUGGAACUGCGAGUGUAGAGGUGAAAUUCGUAGAUAUUCGCAAGAACACCAGUGGCGAAGGCGGCUCACUGGCCCGGUACUGACGCUGAGGUGCGAAAGCGUGGGGAGCAAACAGG